rnacentral:lncRNA from 1 species
UAACCUGACUUCUUAACGCGCAAUUAUCUUCUUCUUCAAUUUGUUGAUUUUCUUUUGAAACUUCCAAGUCGAAGUGCUAUUAGGUAGAUGUCAACCACACAACUGAGGAUUUCACAUUUGAUUUCUCGCUUAUAACUGCAAAACUCAUUAAUAUUAAUUAAAGUUUCAAAUACUAUCGAUCCUUCUAUUAACCUGGCAUAACAAAGGAGUCUAUAUAUAAAUUUCGUACCUGAUAAAAAUAUGCUUUAUUAGGAUAAAUUGAUCUAAUCCAGUCAUGGGUCAUAAUUUAGCUAGGCGGAGAUUGGAAUGAUCACGCGGAAUGGUGUGCGAAAUGAGUAAUGAUACCGGAUGUUUUGGAAUUU